CUAAAUACCUUAGAACAGCAGUUUUCAACCUUCUUUUCCACUUGCAGAUCCCUAAAAAUGUCCAGUGGAGAUGCAGAUCCCUUUGGAAAUGUUAAAUGGAAGUGCAGACCUCUUGGAAUUGGAAGUCUAAUAUAUCUGCCAGGCCUCCGCAGCUGUCCUAGUUUGAAUGACUGGAGUGGGCCCUGGUGCAUUGAAUGCAGUGGCUGAGUGGUCCUGGCUCCACAAGACUCCACACUCAAGGACUUGCCUGAGGGCAGUUUUCAGCAGGCACUAAGAGGUGGCAACAGGCCCUUGUGCGAUGGGAAUGCAGCCUUUGUCCUCUUCACCAAAGAUUUCAGCUUCAACAAGGCUGGAUUCCUGAGGCAUCUGGAUAGGCUCUGUCAGCAAGUUUGCAGCAGAAAGACACUGGCGGAAUGAGAUCGACAGGAAAGCUGAGCUAUUACCUGAACAGACUCUGUCCCAGGGCCAGCAGAAGUAAAACAGUGACAAUGUAAAAAAUGUGAUUUAUUUUUUUUACGCUGUAAGAGAUUUUGUGAAGAAAAGGCAUUUGUUAAAUGUGGAAAAAACAUUGCAGAAAAUACACUUUUGUAAAAACUAAGGGCUUGAAUUUGUGUGUGAGAGAGAGUGCAUUUCUUUAUGCCAUUUUUUAAUUAACUUUGCCUUCUAAACACCAGAGAGCUGUUUUUCUACAGAAGCAGAUCCAAGGAACUGCUUGCUGUUCCUUUAUCAGCCCAACUGUCCCCAUGUUUUUCAUUAGGUAGUUAUAUGGUGCAUUUCCCAUCAAGAAUUGCUUUAAUCUUGAUUGCAUUCUAAAAGCUCAAGAUUUUGCAAUUCUGCUGGGCUACCUUUGACUCU